GUGCCCGUAGCUCAGCUGGAUAGAGCGGCGGCCUUCUAAGCCGAUGGUCCCUGGUUCGAAUCCAGGCGGGCGCGCCA
rnacentral:tRNA from 1 species